GUCAAGAUAAGAAUUGAAGAUGGUUUAUUAACCGGGCUUUGAAGUUUGAAUUAGUAUUCCUCCAGAUUCGGUCAAACCUGACUUUCAACCACUUGAAUUGGUCAAAAAAAUAAGCUAAAUUAACACAACUUCUAAGGUUGAUCUCUCUUCGUCUCACUCUAUAUAUCUACAAGAAACUCAGUUAUUGCCCUCACCACCUUCAACCCUAGCCAACACCAUGACCAACCACCGCUCCACCACCAACUGUCGUCGACAUCGUCACCAACCUUUUGCUCCACACACAAACGUUGAAGGUUGUAGUGUAUACGUGAAGUUAUUCUCGAGAUUAAGAAACGUUUUGAUUUAAUCAUAAUAGAAACGUCUAUAUUCUUUUAGCUACCAAAAAUAAAGACAUG